ACGUGUCGUCAAUGGCAUCACUUGAUGGUUCGUUUGACAGGCAGCCCAGAUUACAAUGCAUGUUAGUAGCCUCAUUGAGAAUGUUUUCAUUUCGACAACAAUAGAAACAUUUGAAAAUAAGUGUUUUAAAAAAAAAAAAAGUCUAUUCGGUUAGCCAGGUAACAUAGCAUGAAUGAUAAAUUGACAAAAAAAAAAUUAUGCCAGAUGGGCUUUCAUAGCUAGCCCACAAUCACUGCAAACUCAGCUAUCAUUUGUGGACAUUUUGCUAGUAAGUGAUGUUAGCAUAACAGCUUUCUACAGUGCAGGAUUUUAAUAUGGAUUAUUAAUUUCAGUAUGGAUAUUGGCAGCAUCAUUUGGGGUGGACCUCAUCGAACCCUUCAUGAAAUCCAGGAAUGGCAACAGCUGGUGUCUGGCGGCGACCGAUCACUUUACCAAGUGGGUGGAGGCAAUACCCAUUAAGGCCAGAAAAUAAAUUACCAGCUGACAAUCAUUUUUACCUGGAGGUGGUCCUUGAAGGCAUUCUGACCUGGUUCGACAACUUCCACCACAUCAGCUGCAGCUCACAUCCGUACUCGGUGGAGGCCUGGACGCUGCUGUUGUGUGCAAAGAGAAUUACCUUCAGGUUGUUCUCCCACCGUUCCUGGUACCCGUCAGUGGACUUGCCCAUGGCAGUUGAGGGUCUGGUUGGUCCGUUCCUCCAAACCCGGAGGAAGGGGUAGGAAAGCGAUAUCUGUUGACAAUGUAAGAUAUUGAAAUAUGUAUUUUUAUGUACCAUGAAAAAAAUAUAUAAAAAUUAAACAAACCAUUGGUGACAGAAUAUAACCUACAACAUCCGUACCUUGUUCGCUCACAAACUCGGUCACUCAAGAUUACCUCAGGAGAACCGUGGGUCUUGAAGAUGUCGUUCAUCGCCUUGGAGGUGGCCUCGCCAGUCUCGUCCUUGAUAGGGCCGACAGACAAGUUCCUUACUUUCUCCCCCUUCCACUUGCCUCUUCCAUUUUUGCGGUAAUGCACUUACAUUUGUUAGCUGCAUGUGUGAUAUAACUCCACCAGUCCGAUUUAUGGUAUCAUUUACAAAGAUUAUACCAAAAAUAUUAGUUUUAUUAUUUAGUGUAUUUCAGUUUAACCAUAAUAUUUGUUGUAGUGUUUGUUCUGUCUUUUUUCUGGUGGAUUAAACAGAAAUAGCAACCAACUUUCUAUGGCUUGUUUUAAAAAUAGCGAUAUUUUGGAGAUUUCAUUUUCAAAUAACUGAAAGUGAGAGGUUGUAAUCUGAAUAAAGGGGAAAAGGACAUUUUUGAACAUGGGGUGAGACAUUCUUACCAAUCUGCUAGGGAACCAGUUUGGAUUUUAGUAUAACUUAUGACUGAAGUCUUGAGUGAGAGUUCUAAUGCGUUAGUAUUUUAUCACUUCUGCCCUUCAAAUUCAUUAUACAGUAUAUAUAGUGCAUCCAGAAAGUAUUCAGACCCCUUACCCUUUUCCACAUUUUGUUAUGUGACAGCCUUAUUCUAAAAUUGAUUACAUGUAUUUGUUCAUUAUUAGGUGUGCAACAAAACCCUAACCGAACUCCAAAGCGAACAAAAAUGUCACACGUUGUAAUCAUAUAUGCACGAACUGUACCAAUCUGUUUCAGUUGGGAAGCAUCUCAGAUUGAUUGUCUGGAGCCAAGUUAACCUCCCCUUUCAUGUACAAAAAAUCAUGACCAUCAUGCUUUUAGGGAAAGACAAUCAAUUUAUACACGUAUUAAACUGUGAGUUUGACCAAUUCCAGUCCUUUAAAAAAAAAAAAAAAGGUCAAUAAAAAUCUGCAUUCCAUAUGAUGGAAAUCUGUCGUAGUUACAGAGAACUUUAACCCCUUAUAAAGGACAGAGGAGAUCUUAUAUUUGGUUGGUUCAAAUCUCCUACAGGUGAGAUUUAAGUAUAAAUAACUGUAUAUAAAGAAUGAUAUUAAUAUAACUGCAUCUUACAGGAAUAUUAUAGCUGUGCAUGUGCACACUCAAUCAGUUCAAUAUAGAAAAGGUAAAAUGAGGACAAUACAGUUAUGACCAUGACAAGAGCAACCUGAUCAAAACCCUUACUUUUCCCCCAAUGAUUAUAAAGUCUCUGCCAUGACUAAAGAACUGAUGAUGCCCCAAAGAUAACAGAAUCUCUAACCAUUUCCCUAUUGCAGUAUUAUACACUAGUUAAUAGGUUGACUGUUACGUUGCUGACAUGACUGAAGAACUAUCAGUUACAGACAUAACAGAAUAAUAUCUUUAACAUAACCCUAUAUUUUCAGUGUUCAGAAAACACUUGAUAUUAUCUCGAUCAAUAGGAUAUAAAUGCAGUAGCCUAGUUAAAUAAAGGUUAAAAUAAAAAAAUACACAUUUUUAAAACUAUCCUGAUCACAAUGAUUGUAAAGCUGCUGCGAUGACAGUGAAAUGUAUUCUCUGAGAUAGGUUAUCAACUUAGAUAAUAAACUGUUUAUAGCUUAAACUACUUCUAAAAUGCAUUUUCAAGAAGGCAAUCUAAUUUAUCCAGGUUUUAGGUUGCUGGUUAUGCAAAAUGCUGCUAUUAUGUACAGUACCAGUCAAAUGUUUGGACACACUUACUCAUUCAAGGGUUUUUCUUUAUUUUGGCUAUUUUCUACAUUGUAGAAUA